rnacentral:tRNA from 1 species
GUCGAAGUGGCGGAAUUGGUAUACGCGUACGCUUCAGGAGCGUAUGGCUUCACAGCCUUGAGGGUUCAAGUCCCUCCUUCGACA